UCGGGGUUCGUCUAAUGGCAGGACGCGGGUUUUUGGUACCCGCUACGGGGGUUCGAAUCCCUCACCCCGAA
rnacentral:tRNA from 2 species